rnacentral:rRNA from 1 species
AAUGUAUCGGAACGUGCCCAGUCGUGGGGGAUAACUGCUCGAAAGAGCGGCUAAUACCGCAUACGACCUGAGGGUGAAAGCGGGGGAUCGCAAGACCUCGCGCGAUUGGAGCGGCCGAUAUCAGAUUAGGUAGUUGGUGAGGUAAAGGCUCACCAAGCCGACGAUCUGCAGCUGGUCUGAGAGGACGACCAGCCACACUGGGACUGAGACACGGCCCAGACUCCUACAGGAGGCAGCAGUGGGGAAUUUUGGACAAUGGGCGCAAGCCUGAUCCAGCCAUGCCGCGUGCGGGAAGAAGGCCUUCGGGUUGUAAACCGCUUUUGUCAGGGAAGAAAAGGUUCUGGCUAAUACCUGGGACUCAUGACGGUACCUGAAGAAUAAGCACCGGCUAACUACGUGCCAGCAGCCGCGGUAAUACGUAGGGUGCAAGCGUUAAUCGGAAUUACUGGGCGUAAAGCGUGCGCAGGCGGUUAUGCAAGACAGAGGUGAAAUCCCCGGGCUCAACCUGGGAACUGCCUUUGUGACUGCAUGGCUAGAGUACGGUAGAGGGGGGUGGAAUUCCGCGUGUAGCAGUGAAAUGCGUAGAUAUGCGGAGG